ensembl:lncRNA
AUGCGACCUGUCUCCGCGCUCCAUUAAUCGUCUCCCAAGUGAUGUAGAUCAUCCUGGUUGAACAGAUAGGUAAUGGAGGAGCGCUGAGUGCCCGAGCAACGCAUCUGAAAGGAACAGUUUUAGGAAUAUCAUAAAGAGAUCGUUUUUGUGAUUCCAAGCCAGGCCGAGUUGUUCUGAUGUCCGCAGCAGCUGGAAGAGAAAACCAUACAACGGCUGAUGGAGUUGGCUGCAGCAAGAAAAUCACAUCUCAGUUCCCAGGAUUUCAGAAAGAUGGGCCUCCUCCGAUAGUUGCAAAUCUCUGCAAAACGUUCUGGUGCUGCUGUGCACUGGUUUGAUCAGAUCUUGGCGAUUUCCUCCUGCGUGCACUCCAUGGCUCUGCUCUUGAGGAUGGAUGAUGCUACCCGGAACUGUGUCUGAUUCAGUGUGCUGAAGGAGGAGAGAAGGGGGAUGCGGAGUUGAUCUUCAAAACUGGCCCGCGUAUUUUGGGUAACAUGUAACGUGUCACAUUUAUUCUAGGCUCACAGCAGCCUAGUUGUGAGAAAAAAAUGUGGAACCAACAUAUGGCUUAGAACUGCUAGCAAUGCAGGGCUAGCAGGAGGUACUUCUGAGGUGCUACACCAUCCACAACACUCGAAUUUUAAAUGUGAUCCGAGUGUGUCCUCUCGAGUGUGACCUGACAGUAAUUAUCGAUCAGGGUCUUCAGUCACUGCUUGAAUUCCUUAGGUCAGUUGAUUUUGAUCAACUGUUUUGUCUUUGUUUUGCUUCCCUGGGGGAAGGGGAAAAGUUGGUUGUGCUGGGAGGGAAGGAACAGCACUGACCAUAGCACUGCAACAUGUAGCACCAACAGAUUUAUUCCUUGGAACAACAACAAAAAAAGUGGGUUUCGAAGGUUUCGAUACCCCCGAUUAAACCAAAGCUGUUCGCGAGGAAAAUGAGAACAGUUGGUGAUGCUCUCGACUACUUUCUUACAGGUCUGAGCCGUUGGCAGCACUGCUGUGCUGAUUCCCCUUCGUCUAAGCGUUCCUGACCGAUCCGUGCCUUGCCCGGAGCGGAAAGGUAAAGAGAGGUCCUUCCGUUUGUGUCGGAGAUGGCUUCUUUCCUGGGCUGGCUUUCUUUGCGGCGUAGGUACGCCGAACCCUGCCGCUUUCCAGUGCCCUUUUUCAGAAGGUUACGGUAUGUCCAGCGGUUGCCCGGGGCCAUUUGGGGGAAGGGAGCGCUGGGGGAGGGGGAUCUUUGUCUCUUCCCGGGCAGAUUUGAGAUCUUGCGAAAGCACAGCGCUUUUGUUGCAGGAGACUACAGUUUCCCUCAGCCAAAGUUUUAAUUACAUCAGGGGUCAAAGGCUCGCCGUUUUCAGCCCCCCGUUUGAAUGCGGAGGCAAUGGAACGGCUCGCCUUUGAGCGGAGGCAUUCACACUUCCCCGCACAUCUGCCCGCUCCGUGUCACACGCCGCUGCCCACCAUUGUGCUGCGGCCCCACGCUGCGAGCAAUGCGAGCCGGGCCGGGCUGCGCCUCUGCGCCGUGAUAAACCUCGGCGCAGCACAGCGGCAGCUUCGGCCCUGGCCUGCCGAAGUUUGCGUCCUUGUUUGUUGGUUGGCUGGUCGGUUGGUCUUAUGAGGCUGAACUUUGUUUCGCUUUGUCUGUUCUGAAGUCUGCAGGGGGGUCCCGAAUUUCGCGCUUUUUUUUUUUUUUUUUUCAGGGUCGCCGCCGAAGUGCUGAUGAGUUUCUCAUUUGUUUGUUUAUUCGUUUAUUUACAGCUUCUCUGUGAAAGCGGUAGGUGGCAAGAAAAGGAGAUGGUGAAGCGCUGGCAACACCCAGUGGGUUCAUUAGCUGCUCUUUGCCAUUCGGCCUGAAGGGGCCCGUUCGAAUCACCUGAAAGGUCUCCAGCAGGUAUCUGCAUUGAUAUCUGAUACAGAUAUCUGUAUUGAUAUCUGCUGCAAAGCUGUCUCUGAUGGGACAUUCCAAAGCACGGCCUGCUUUACCCCAUGCCGUGAUUUUCCGGGCCUUGUCCCUCCUGUUAUCAGUGGGAGCGGUCUCCCCAUGGCAGAGCAGAGAUACAAGCUCAGCUUUAGCCCUGAUGCCCCAAUAACUUUCAUUCAUUUCAUCUGUUCACAUGGUGCUGUGAAACUUGCUGGCUUAAUCACUCCUCCCAGGGAUUCUUCUGCUCGGAACUGAACACCGGUGAACACAAAAUGCAUACAUACAUACAAAAGGUAUGUCACAUAUACGUAAACAGGCAAAAAACAAAAAAAAGCCACACCAGUACGAAUGCCUGCAGCACAAAAUCACCUUCACUCGGGCAGACCGGAGCUGGCAGAGCCCCUCACGUGGCACGGGAGCCGUGCUGACUCACGCGCUCACACGGGAAAUCCCAGCAUGCUUUCUGGCCGCCUCUCAUUCAAAUGAUUCUUCCCAGUCCUCUGCUUUUGGGAAGUGAGCCUCAGUCUGCAUCUCACGCCCUGGCGCUCUCAUGCUGUAUUUCCUGCUCAGCACAAAGCUAGCCCAGCUAACUUGACCAGAGCUGCCUGUGAGUUUCCUAGAUGUGCCCACGUAGUGCUGCUGACUGGUUUCACGUCUCACGGCUGUCGCAUCCUGACUUUUGCCUUACAGAAUGCUGUGCUCAGGCUGCCUUUAAAACGCACGACUACGUAGAAGCUCCACGGGGAUCUGCAGGGAUAUGCAAACGUGACUCCUUUUACAAAAGCCACGGUGCUUUCUUCUCACCUCCGUGCAGAUGCCACUUCAUUUCUGCCGUGGGUUCUAAUAAGGCCUCUGGCAGGUGGGCAAAACGUUACGCUCUACCGUUGCCUUUCUUGGGAAAUCCCCUGAAAAUUCUCAAUAUCACAAAUGAAAGAUUUAUUUUGCCCUAAACGACAUUAUUCCGAUUAAAUCCAUAGAGGCUACAGUGAAUAAGCAACAUACAGUCUCGUCGUUGCACCGAGAAAGCGCCGGCAGGGUACAGCGCACGCGCCUGCAUAUUCUAAUCGGCUCUGUGAGUGGGCCGUCUAAGGCAGCAGAUGCAUUAACUGUUGGCUUUAAUUAAUACCCGCGCUAAUGACCGCUAGAGAGUGCUCUUGUCCCUGUUGGUGAGCGCUGCCGCAUUUUCGUCCUCUGAGGAAAUGGGACAGCCGAUUCCAGCGCCGUAGGGAUGAGAGUGAAUUGGUAAGGAGGCGAACCCCAUCAGUUGUUUAAGUCAGGCACGGCGCCUGGCCGUGUGUGUCCCACUCGGGUAUGUUCCCUCUAACUGGGGGCUGCCUAAACCAGGCAGUAUCUUCUGCCCUACGUCUUCAAUACGCUGUGCUUUUUGCACAAAAAUAGCAAAAGAGGACGAUAGCAAAGGCUUUAAUUCAGCCGAGCUGCUGGUGUUGAAGUUAAGAAGCACCUACUGAAAUGCUUUGCAUUUGGUACAAAAGCCAGUCAUUCUCUUCCGAACAUAACGUGACUUUUCAUGUUUGGUGCAGUCAGGGUUUUGCAGCCAGGUUUUUCCUAAGGCUUUUCAGUCUCGUGUGCUGCCCCGUCUUUGGAAACGCCUUGUUUCCAAGUCCCGGAGCUCUCACUUGUGUUGGGCUGCUCUCUGUCGCACACUUUGCUGUAGUGCACGUCUCUCGGCAGCUUCACUGCUUUCUGGGCACACUGAGCUGGGAGUUCCACCUGCCAUGCAGCUGACGCCCCGAGCUGCUGGGAACGUCUCCCUUUGGCCAGUUCAGCUUCUAUCCAUCUUGUUUAUAAAGUGCCACUGAGAUUCAUAGCAGAGCGCCGGUGUACCAUGAGAGCACCACGGCCCGCCUGGCUUCCUGGCAUGGAAAUACAGCCAGCUGUGAUUCACUAUGCAGGUGAGGCACUUGGCUGAGCUCAGUGUGAUGCUGUGAUGCUGCUGUAUCUGUAUGCACAUUGCCAGUGCCCCGUGCGAUGUGUGCUGAAACCACAACAGCUUCCAAGCAGACCACCCACUGCACUGCGCAGCAAUGCGUUUUACAUAUCUGACAGACCUUUGAGUUGUUUCCUUUUUUAUCGUGUUCUAUUUCUUCUAAAUCGCGUUCCUCCGAAUCUGGCAUUUAUAGAACAAUAGGUGCAAAUAAUGGUUCGGUUCUCUGUGUGCUCACGCUUGCUGACAAGAAACCGUCAAGAUUAGAGGAGGGAGUUUUGUCUCUGUAUAAACUGAAGUGGAUGAGAUUACUCGUGCCGCAGCUCACGCUGUGCACUUCUGAAUGAGGCAGCCAGCUCCCGGCUGAUGCUUUUUCUUGCCCUCAAAAUGAAAUGAGGUAGCCCUGAGAGUGCAGCGAAAGCCGCCGUACUCCUGAAUUAGUCCAAACCGCAGCUGUGUCAUUCUGGAGCUGGGAGCCUGGGGCAUUCCUACGCAACACUGCUGCCAUCCAACAUGUCAGAGAGGUGAAGACAGAGCCAUUCUUACCACGGGUCCUGGGACAGCGCUGGGAUGCCGCUGUCAGAAGCAUCUGCAUCUCUCCAAGGGAUGGCAGCGCCGCGCUGCUCUGCCAUGUUACGGCUGCCCUGGCAGACAUGAUGCCGCUCCAAAAUGUGCAUUCCCUGCAGUUGGUACAGUUCCUUCUUAACAGUUUAAGUUCUGGUUGGUUGAAAUGCAUUUCGUAGACUUUCGUAAUGAUGUGUUUUGAUUAAAAAUGCGGGUGUUUUAAGGCAGAGGGAUCGGAAAAGAGCAUAAUUUCUGUGUGCUUUGCAGGGCAAACAGGGCGCAUUCCUCUGUAUUUGAUGUGAUUUUCAGGCAGCUCUGAAAGGUCUCACGAGCAUAUGCUACAGUCCCCUUGAGACUCCGGUGAGAUCUUCUCAGUGAGACCUUCUCAGCUGUAUCUGGCUUCACUGGUGCCAAGAGCUGCCACUGGCCAGCAGGUACAAGAGCACAUCAAUGCUUAGGAUCGCAGCUCUGGUUAGCGAAACUUACCUGGACACCCAUCAGAAGCAAGCAGAUUAACGGAACAGAGCCUGCUGCUGACUCAGGGGAUCUUAAAGCACUUGGAAUCCACACAUCAAAUUAAUCAUAAUUAAUCUUAUAUAUGUAGGUUGCUCCAAAAGUAAUGCUUCCUAUUCAUUUCCACCGAAACAUCAGAUACAAAGGGCACAGUAACACUGUUUGAUAGAAGAAAUUCUCAGUUACAGAACACAUUUUUUUCAGCAUAGUAGCCACCAUUAGCUAGGCAUCUGUCACACAGCAACAACACGGGUUGGAAUAUGGGUGGGAAGGUGCAACCCCUACUGCUGUAUCACCAGCGUCCAUUCUGAUGCCAAGGGCCAAUAUCACAAAUUAGGAGGCAUUACUUCCGGAGCAGCCCUUGCACAAAGUGGCAUGUUGGGCGCGUUGUGGUGCAUCGCCCUUCUCCCUUCAGCCACUAUCCCUGCUGGCUAUCAGUGUGUAGCGCAGUUCUGUUCAGAUUGUUAAGGAGUGGAAGAAGAGAGCAGCUCAGAGUGAGCCACAGCAGCGUGCCAUUUAUUGAAUGUUAGAGACCUCAAGAUCUGGGGAGCGAUGCUAGAAUCACGAACCCUCAGCAAGUCCUCCUUUUCCCAUACAUAAAUUUUUCCAGUCCAAAAAACAGAAUCUGGUGUGGGUUUGUUUUCUUUUUUUCCAUCAUCUGUGGGUGUCUGGUAGUCUAUUCAAAGAGUGUAACCUAGCAAUAAGUAUCUCAGCAUGCACUGUGAGUAUCCAGGAAUCCUUAGUAGGGACCAAGACGUGUGUAUAAUUAUUUAUUUGUUUGUUUGUUUGUUUGUUUAUUUGUUUACAACCAGUGGAUCCAAAAGACCUGGAAGCUUCCCAGCCCUGGCCCAUGUAUCUGUAGUCAUCCUUCAUGUGCUCAGCCAGUCCUGGGUGUUCCAGGCACAUCUGUAAAACCCUUCCCCGAG